UCUGGUUGAUCCUGCCGGAGGCUACCGCUAUUGGAGUUCGAUUAAGCCAUGCGAGUCGCGAGAAAUUAGAUUCUCGGCGUACCGCUCAGUAACACGUGGGUAACCUGCCCUAUGCUGGAUAAUAACCUCGGGAAACUGAGAAUAAUGAUCCAUAGUUCACUACGCCUGGAACGGUGAGUGGAUGAAAGCUCCGGCGGCAUAGGAUGGGCCUGCGGCGUAUCAGGUUGUAGGGGGUGUAACGUACCCUCUAGCCCUCUACGCGUACGGGUGUUGGGAGACAUAGCCCGGAGAUGGAUUCUGAGACACGAAUCCAGACCCUACGGGGUGCAGCAGGCGCGAAAACUUGGCAAUGCGAGAAAUCGUGACCAGGGAACUCCAAGUGCAUCGGGUAAGACCGGUGCUUUUCUUGACUCUAAAUAGGUCUUGGAAUAAGGGGUGGGUAAGGACGGUGCCAGCCGCCGCGGUAAUACCGGCGCCUCAAGUGGUAGUCGCUUUUAUUGGGCCUAAAACGUCCGUAGCCGGUCUGAUACAUUCGUGGGUAAAUCAACCAGCUCAACUGGUUGAAUUCUGCGAGGACGGUCAGACUUGGGACCGGGAGAGGUGUGGGGUACGCUCAGGGUAGGGGUAAAAUCCUGUCAUCCUGAGCGGACCACCUGUUGCGAAGGCGCCACACUAGAACGGAUCCGACGGUCAGGGACGAAGCCUAGGGGCACGAACCGGAUUAGAUACCCGGGUAGUCCUAGGUGUAAACGCUGUGGACUUGAUG
rnacentral:rRNA from 1 species